UACGAAGGGUGCAAACGUUGCUCGGAAUUAUUGGGCGUAAAGCGCACGUAGGCGGCAUCGCAAGUCCCAUGUGAAAGCCCACGGCUUAACCGUGGAAGUGCAUGGGAAACUGCAGUGCUUGAGUACUUAAGAGGAUCGCGGAAUUCCCGGUGUAGAGGUGAAAUUCGUAGAUAUCGGGAGGAACACCAGUGGCGAAGGCGGCGAUCUGGGAAGAUACUGACGCUGAGG
rnacentral:rRNA from 1 species